ACUUUUUUAGUAUAAAAAAUAUAUUUGACUUCCAAUCAAAAGAUCUUACAAAAAGAAAAAGUA
rnacentral:tRNA from 1 species